GGAUUCAAGAGCUAAAAAAUAAGACCAGACACACCUAUAAAGACAGAAAACAGAGGCGGAGGUACUGCUGAUGCCACUGCGGUUUGUUGCCUAGGCACAUAAAGGAAAUACAAAAUUUGAGUUAGAGGAAAUGAAUAUUACUAAAGUCAAGAUGGAAUAUUACAAAGGUCAAGAGGAAAGGACAAGAAGAGAACGGACAGUCUACCUUCUGGGGACCUGAUAGUAUUCUAUGUCUUGACCUGGACAGUGGUUAUUCAGGUGGGAUUCUUGUUUCUCUGGAGUCAUCUGUGAGUGUUACUGAUCCCCACUCUGAAUCCCAAGCCAGUAGAGAAGCGUGAGUUUUCAGGAGGGUUUAUUCAUAUCCCGUCUAUAUAUUUUUGAUGGAAACCUGAUAUCUUGAUUCCAGAGCCAAGUGUCUUGUGAUCUGCCAUCAUCCAAAUGUGUUUUUAAGACCUCAUCUCAAUGGUGUUUUCUUCUGCUGCAAAUAGGGUGUUGUUGGUUUCUUUUCUGUUGUGGAAAAUGUCUUGUAUGCCAGUUUUCAAAAAUAAAAAUUCUAAAACUGUCCAUGGAACAUUCUAGGAGGACUCUCAAGAGUGGAG
ensembl:lncRNA